CUUAGUGGCGCAGCUAACGCGAUAAGUCGACCGCCUGGGGAGUACGGCCGCAAGGUUAAAACUCAAAUGAAUUGACGGGGGGCCCGCACAAGCGGUGGAGCAUGUGGUUUAAUUCGAAGCAAACGCGAAGAACCUUACCUGGCCUUGACAUGUCCGGAACCUUGCAGAGAUGCGAGGGUGCCUUCGGGAAUCGGAACACAGGUGCUGCAUGGCUGUCGUCAGCUCGUGUC
rnacentral:rRNA from 1 species